UUGAUCAUAUAACAAUUGUGUC
rnacentral:siRNA from 1 species